GGGACUGUGGAUUAGUGGUAGAGUGCUUGCCUAGCAUGCAUGAAGCCGUGGGUUCGAUUCCUCAGUACCA
rnacentral:tRNA from 1 species